UGGGUAGAAACCCCCCCCCCCCCCAAUAGGGAGACACGGGCCCAGCACACACAGGAAAAAGCCCACGGACCAAGUGCGCGUUCUCAAAACAAUGGGGUUAGAUACCCGUCUAUUCAUAACAAAACAGUGAGGCUGAAGAAUACGGGCCUAAAUGCCUUAAACUCAAAGACUUUGGCGGUGUCUUAUCAAAUUAGGGGAGCCUGCCCAUUAAAUCGACAGUCCACGACUAAAUAACCUAUGCUUGAAUAUCAGUCUGUAUACUGCCGUCGUAAGUAAGCCUCUCAAAGAAAGAAGUUUACACAUAACAAUGUCAAGUUGUAAAACGUCAGGUCAUAGUGCAACUUAUGCUUAGGAAGAGGUGGGCUACAAACUAAAUAAAGACUAACGAAUUUAUGACUAAAUAGUCAUAAAGAAGGUGGACUUAACUGUAACUUAAUAAUCAUAUUUAAGUGAAAGUGAAUCUAAGACAUGCACACAUCGCCCUCAUCCCCUAGG
rnacentral:rRNA from 1 species